GAUUAACGCUGGCGGCAUGCCUAAUACAUGCAAGUCGAACGAGAAUUUUUAAUUCUAGUGGCGAACGGGUGAGUAAUGUAUUUCUAACCUGCCCUAGAGAGUGGGAUAACUAUUGGAAACGAUAGCUAAUACCGCAUAGUAUACGAGGAGGCAUCUCCUUGUGUUUAAAGGUGCGUUUGCACCACUUUGGGAUGGGGAAAUAUCACAUUAGCUGUUUGGUAGGGUAAAGGCCUACCAAGGCGAUGAUGUGUAGCCGAGCUGAGAGGUUGAUCGGCCACAAUGGGACUGAGACACGGCCCAUACUCCUACGGGAGGCAGCAGUAGGGAAUUUUCCACAAUGGACGAAAGUCUGAUGGAGCAAUGCCGCGUGAGGGAUGACGGUCUUCGGAUUGUAAACCUCUGUUGUAAGGGAAGAACAAGCAGGAUAGGAAAUGAUCUUGCUCUGACGGUACCUUACCAGAAAGUCACGGCUAACUAUGUGCCAGCCGCCGCCGUAAGAC
rnacentral:rRNA from 1 species